rnacentral:rRNA from 1 species
UACAGAGGGUGCAAGCGUUAAUCGGAAUUACUGGGCGUAAAGCGUGCGUAGACGGUUACAUAAGUCAGAUGUGAAAGCCCCGGGCUCAACCUGGGAAUUGCAUUUGAGACUGCGUAGCUAGGGUGCGGAAGAGGGAAGCGGAAUUCCCGGUGUAGUGGUGAAAUGCGUAGAUAUCGGGAGGAACACCAGUGGCGAAGGCGACUUCCUGGCCUGUUCUUGACGCUGAGGCGCGAAAGCUAGGGGAGCAAACGGG